CCUACGGGUGGCAGCAGUGAGGAAUAUUGGUCAAUGGACGAGAGUCUGAACCAGCCAAGUAGCGUGAAGGAUGACUGCCCUAUGGGUUGUAAACUUCUUUUAUAUGGGAAUAAAAUGUUCCACGUGUGGGUUUUUGUAUGUACCAUCUGAAUAAGGAUCGGCUAACUCCGUGCCAGCAGCCGCGGUAAUACGGAGGAUACGAGCGUUAUCCGGAUUUAUUGGGUUUAAAGGGAGCGUAGGUGGGUUGUUAAGUCAGUUGUGAAAGUUUGCGGCUCAACCGUAAAAUUGCAGUUGAAACGGGCAGGCUUGAGUACAGUAGAGGUGGGCGGAAUUCGUGGUGUAGCGGUGAAAUGCUUAGAUAUCACGAAGAACUCCGAUUGCGAAGGCAGUUCACUGGACUGCAACUGACACUGAGGCUCGAAAGUGUGGGUAUCGAACAGGAUUAGAUACCCCGGUAGUC
rnacentral:rRNA from 1 species